UCCCUGGUGGUCCAGUGGUUAAGACUUCAAGCUUCCAAUGCAAGGGGCACAGGUUUGAUCCCUGUUCAGGGAG